rnacentral:rRNA from 1 species
UAAUGCAUCGGAACAUGUCCAGGUUCGUGGGGGAUAGCCCGGCGAAAGCCGGAUUAAUACCGCAUACGCCCCGAGGGGGAAAGCGGGGGACUUCGCAAGAGGCCUCGCGCGAAUGGGUUGGCCGAUGUCCGAUUAGCUAGUUGGUGGGGUAAAGGCUUACCAAGGCGAUGAUCGGUAGCUGGUCUGAGAGGAUGAUCAGCCACACUGGGACUGAGACACGGCCCAG